rnacentral:ncRNA from 1 species
AAGGCGGAAACCGAAAAGCCCAAAUAGAGUAGGUA